UGCCAGCCGCCGCGGUAAUACGUAGGGUGCGAGCGUUAAUCGGAAUUACUGGGCGUAAAGCGUGCGCAGGCGGAUUGUUAAGCAAGAUGUGAAAUCCCCGGGCUUAACCUGGGAAUGGCAUUUUGAACUGGCAGUCUAGAGUGUGUCAGAGGGGGGUGGAAUUCCACGUGUAGCAGUGAAAUGCGUAGAGAUGUGGAGGAACACCGAUGGCGAAGGCAGCCCCCUGGGAUAACACUGACGCUCAUGUACGAAAGCGUGGGUAGCAAACAGGAUUAGAUACCCUGGUAGUCCACGCCCUAAACGAUGUCAACUGGUUGUUGGGGGAGUGAAAUCCCUUAGUAACGAAGCUAACGCGUGAAGUUGACCGCCUGGGGAGUACGGUCGCAAGAUUAAAACUCAAAGGAAUUGACGG
rnacentral:rRNA from 1 species